CCCUUAGAUGUUCUGGGCUGCACGCGCGCUACACUGAAGCGUUCAACGAGUAUUCACCUUGCCCGGGAGGGUUGGGUAAUCUUUUCAAAACGCUUCGUGAUGGGGAUAGAUUAUUGCAAUUAUUAAUCUUCAACGAGGAAUUCCUAGUAAGCGCGAGUCAUCAGCUCGUGCUGAUUACGUCCCUGCCCUUUGUACACACCGCCCGUCGCUCCUACCGAUUGAGUGACCCGGUGAAUAAUUCGGACUGCAGCAGGCCUGGUCUCCGGGUUUUGCAGCGGAAAGUUUAGUGAACCUUAUCACUUAGAGGAAGGAGAAGUCGUAACA
rnacentral:rRNA from 1 species